UUAAAAAAGUUUCAGCAGCACAUACACUGGAACUAUACAGAGACGAUUAGCAUGGUGCCUGCACAAGGAUGGCGUGCAAAUUUGUGAAGAGUUAAACUUUUUU